ensembl:lncRNA
CAUGGGUUCAGGGUGGCUACGCUCUAAGGUGCUCUGCACGUGCGGACCGUGAACUUGACUUGGGGGGAGGAGACCAGCAGCCACCUCUGGAGGUUUCAACAGCUUAACCCUAGGGCGCGUCCCUGAACACACCCUAGAGGCCUCCCUGAGAACACCCUAGGGCCUCCCUGAGCACACCCUAGAGGCCUCCCUGAGCACACCCUAGGGAGCCUCCCUGAGCACCCCCUAGGGGCCUCCCUGAGCACACCCUAAGGCCUCCCUGAGCACACCCUAGGGGGCAUCCCUGAGAACACCCUAGGGCCUCCCUGAGAACACCCUAGGGCCUCCCUGGAACACCCUAGAGGCCUCCCUGAGCACACCCUAGGGGGCAUCCCUGAGAACACCCUAGGGCCUCCCUGGAACACCCUAAGGCCUCCCUGAGCACACCCUAGGUUGUCCCUGAGCACACCCUAGGGGCCGAGCCAGGCCUCCCAGAGGGUGUGUCUGGGAUCAGAAGCAUUCAUGUCAUGCGUAGAGUUGUUGGGAACGCACAUUCUUGACCGAGCCCAGUCCUCCUGACUGGGGGAUUCUGUAGAUAGGGCCUUGUGCGCAUGCUCAGUCAUGUAUGAUUCCUGCAACCCCAUGGACUGCAGCCCAGCAGGCUCCUCUGUCCAUGGGAUUUUUUAUCCAGGCAAGAAUACUAGAGUGGGUUGCCAUUUUCUCCUACAGGGGAUCUUCCCAAAUCAGAGGUUGAAUCUGCGUCUCCUCACCUCCCGCAUUAGUGGACAGAUUCAGCGCCUAGCAACAUGGUAUUAAGGGCCCCGGGUGAUUCUGAGGCCACCAAAGUCUGAGAAUCAUAGUCCUAAAGAAAGGCCAGACUGAUGCUGGGUCUUCCUUUCUCUGGCUUUUCUGGGUAAGAUGCUACAGAGAAACCUAGAUGAACUUUUUAGCCAACCCAAUAGUUGCACCCGGGACUCAGUCCAUGCCUGGUCUACAGAUUUACCCCUAGGUCACAUCAAAUUCGGGCUUCCCUCACAGCUCAGUUGGUAAAUCACCUGCCUGCAAUGCAGGAGAUCUGGGUUCAAUUCCUGGGUCGGAAGGAUCUCAUGGAGAAGGAAAUGGCAACCCACUCCAGUACUCUUGCCUGGGAAAUCCCAUGGACAGAGGAGCCUGGCGUGCUACAUUCUACGGGAUCACAAGAGUCGGACACGACUUAGCAACUAAACCACACCACCACCACGCAUCAAAUUCAAAUGCCUCGCUGGGGUAGGUCUCGGCCUCCCACAGCUACUGUGCCCCUUGAUUAUUCGACUGCAGGCGGCAUGCCUUGAUCGAUUCUGUAUCCAGGUGUUACCUGACGGGUUAGUCCUCCCCUGCUUGUCUACUGGCCUGACCUACUGAGGUCCCAGAAUGGCUGGGAGCUCUUUCACCCACCGCGUGACAAGAUGAGAGAAGGAACCACUUAGAAGUCUAAAGUGAGGAUGUCAGCUAACUGUCAAAAGGCCCAGGAAGAUGAGAAAAGCCACUGACUGGCUUUUGUAAUUUAUACAGACAAGUUGGCAUGGUUUGGGCCGUUCCCAUAUCUACAGCCCUGCAUCCUGAACCACACGGCCAGAAUGUGUGUGCCACAGGCUCGAAGCAAAACCACAUCGCACAAGGGAAACAGGAAGUGCAUGAGAAGGCGGACAAAUAGAGAAGUCAGCUGAAGGCCAAGGACAUGCAGAAGAGUUUUCAAGCUGAGAUUGGUGGUGCUUGUUUAAAGCUGAAAGGCAACCAACAGGGACCUAGAAUCGCACACAGGAAACUCUACUCAAUAUUCUGAAAUGACCUACAUGGGAAAAGACUCUGAGAAAGAAUGGAUAUGUGCAUAACUGAUUCACUUUACACCUGAAACACAGCACUGUACAUCAACCAAACUAAAAAAUAAAAAUUACAUUUACAAAAUAAAACUGGGGGAAUCUC